GUAACGGCGAGUGAAGCGGUAACAGCUCAAAUUUGAAAUCUGGCUCCUUCGGAGUCCGAGUUGUAAUUUGUAGAAGAUGCUUUGGGUUACAGGUCCGGUCUAAGUUCCUUGGAACAGGGCGUCGUAGAGGGUGAGAAUCCCGUAUGCGGCCGUGACCCGUGCCCGUGUAAAGCUCUUUCGACGAGUCGAGUUGUUUGGGAAUGCGGCUCAAAAUGGGUGGUAAAUUUCAUCUAAAGCUAAAUAUAGGCCAGAGACCGAUAGCGCACAAGUAGAGUGAUCGAAAGAUGAAAAGCACUUUGGAAAGAGAGUUAAACAGUACGUGAAAUUGUUGAAAGGGAAGCGCUUGCAACCAGACUUGGGCGUCGUGGAUCAUCCAAGGUUUUCCUCGGUGCACUCGACGACGCGCAGGCCAGCAUCGGUUCGGAUGGCUGGAAAAAGGUCCUAGAAAUGUAGCUCCUUGCGGGGAGUGUUAUAGUCUAGGGCGCAAUGCAGCCCAACCGGACCGAGGACCGCGCUUCGGCUAGGAUGCUGGCGUAAUGGUUGUAAGCGACCCGUCUUGAAACACGGACCAAGGAGUCUAACAUCUAUGCGAGUGUUUGGGCGUUAAACCCAUACGCGGAAUGAAAGUGAACGUAGGUGAGAACCCGCAAGGGGGCAUCAUCGACCGAUCCUGAAGUCUUCGGACGGAUUUGAGUAAGAGCAUAGCUGUUGGG
rnacentral:rRNA from 1 species